rnacentral:lncRNA from 1 species
UUUACCCCUCAAAUUCUUGGUUCUGGACUCGUGCAACAAAAAGAAGGAAAAGUUGUCUAUCAUUUACUUCAAAAGAGCCUGUGUUUUGCUGUUCAUAUUCAGAAUCUCUGCCCUCUCAAUUCCAGCCUCCAAUACGGAUGCCAAGGUAAUUUAUUUUGCAUCACUGUAUUAUAAUAUUGAGGACAGAUGCUUUGGCCCCUUGCCUCAACUCUGCAGACAGUUCACCUUAUUUAUAUGAGUACUUCCUAUAAAUCCCAGAAGUCUCAAAGGUAUGGUGAAUACACAUAAUACUGUUGGAUCAGGGCCCUCAUCUUAACUCCUUAUGCUCACUGGAUGCAUUUUUUUUCCUUUUGCUGCCCGACUCCUUG